AGUGAACGCUGGCGGUAGGCCUAACGCAUGCAAGUCGAACGGCAGCACAGCAAGAGCUUGCUCUUACGGGUGGCGAGUGGCGGACGGGUGAGGAAUACAUCGGAAUCUACUUUUUCGUGGGGGAUAACGUAGGGAAACUUACGCUAAUACCGCAUACGACCUACGGGUGAAAGCAGGGGAUCUUCGGACCUUGCGCGAUUGAAUGAGCCGAUGUCGGAUUAGCUAGUUGGCGGGGUAAAGGCCCACCAAGGCGACGAUCCGUAGCUGGUCUGAGAGGAUGAUCAGCCACACUGGAACUGAGACACGGUCCAGACUCCUACGGGAGGCAGCAGUGGGGAAUAUUGGACAAUGGGCGCAAGCCUGAUCCAGCCAUACCGCGUGGGUGAAGAAGGCCUUCGGGUUGUAAAGCCCUUUUGUUGGGAAAGAAAAGCAGCAGGUUAAUACCCCGCUGUUCUGACGGUACCCAAAGAAUAAACACCGGCUAACUUCGU
rnacentral:rRNA from 1 species